rnacentral:lncRNA from 1 species
CGCCCAGGCUGGAGUGCGGAGGUGCAAUCUUGGCUCACUGCAACCUCCACCUCCCCAAUUCAAGCCAUUCUCCUUUCUCAGCCUCCUGAGUAGCUGGGAUUACAGGCACACACCACCAUGCCCAGCUAAUUUUUGUAUUUUUAGUACAGACGGGGCUUCAUCAUAUUGGUCAGACUGGUCUCAAACUCCUGAUCUCAGGUGAUCCACCUGCCUUGGCUUCCCAAAGUGCUGGGAUUACAGGUGUGAGCCACAACACCCGGCCACAAAUAAACUCUUAAAAACAUGUGGCUGGGCGCAAUGGCUCACGCCUGUAAUCCCAGCACUUUGGGAGGCAGAGGCGGGGGGAUCACGAGGUCGGGAGAUCGAGACCAUCCUGACUAACACGGUGAAACCCCGUCUCUACUAAAAAUACAAAAAAUUAGCCGGGCGUGGUGGCGGGCACCUGUGGUCCCA